AAGGGAAAGAAGACUAAAUUAGGCCUCCGGGACAGAGAUUUACAUACAAACAUAUUGGCAAAUUAAAGUACUUAACAUCACGCGUGAUAUAUUUAUAGAAUAUUGAAAUUAUGAAAAUGGCAACAUUAACUGCCGCUCCCUGAUUGGUCAUAAUAUGACGCUGUCAACAUGACAUUGCUAGUUCAUUAUCCAACUGCUAUAAAAUCCUUGUGGAACUAUGUUGGAUUUAAGUCAAACUAAAUUAUGACAGCUCACUAGUAUCAAUGUCAAAAAAUUGACCCAAGUCAUUCUACGGCGAGGAGGGGAGUUAGUCCGUCAGCAUCUACGGCGUCCACGUGAGCGCCUUUAGCCAGAAGUUCGCGCACCACCGCACAGUGCGCCUCGCCCCACUGCUGCUGCUCCUCCGCUACAAACACAAACUCUACUCAGAUCUAUGGAGCUUUGACGUCGCUGGUGUGGAAGUCGUCGACCGGUGUGCGGCGGUCAGCGGCGAGAUGCAGCAGCGUGUGCCCGCACUGCAGCCGC